AUUGAACGCUGGCGGCAGGCCUAACACAUGCAAGUCGAACGAGUGGCGGACGGGUGAGCAAUGUCUGGGAAAGUGCCUGAUGGAGGGGGAUAACUACUGGAAACGGUAGCUAAUACCGCAUACCAUCGGAUCUGCCCAGAUGGGAUUAGCUAGUAGGUGGGGUAAAGGCUCACCUAGGCGACGAUCCCUAGCUGGGCUGAGAGGAUGACCAGCCACACUGGAACUGAGACACGGUCCAGACUCCUACGGGAGGCAGCAGUGGGGAAUAUUGCGCAAUGGGCGAAAGCCUGAUGCAGCAACGCCGCGUGUAUGAAGAAGGCCUUCGGGUUGUAAAGUACUUUUGGCGGGGAGGCGUUAUCCGAAGAAGAAGCACCGGCUAACUCCGUGCCAGCCGCCGCGGUAAUAC
rnacentral:rRNA from 1 species